CACGUAGGAGGCAAACGUUAUCCGGAUUUACUGGGCGUAAAGCGCGUGUAGGUGGUUUGGUAAGUAGGGCGUGAAAGCUCCUGGCUCAACUGGGAGAGGACGUUCUAAACUGCCAAGCUUGAGGAUGGUAGAGGGAGGUGGAAUUCCGGGUGUAGCGGUGGAAUGCGCAGAUAUCCGGAGGAACACCAGUGGCGAAGGCGGCCUCCUGGACCACUCCUGACACUCAGACGCGAAAGCUAGGGUAGCAAACGGGAUUAGAGACC
rnacentral:rRNA from 1 species